rnacentral:lncRNA from 1 species
UAUGUCGUUAAUUGUCAAGGACUCUCGUAAGCACUUAGUUUUAGAGGAAGGAAAAUAAAUCAAAUAAAGACUUCUGCCGCAGUUCUUGGAUGGAAUGGUCCUAAUAAUAUCCGUGAUUCAAGGAUUGAAGGCAUAUGCGUUUAUGGAUUUUUACAGCUUAAAAGAAUAAAUUUAAUAUCAGAACUUUAUAUUUCAGCUGUUGCGGGUCAGUAUUACCUGACAAAACAUUUAUGAUCUUUAUUGCAUACAAUAACAACGGUCUUGUUUUGGGUCAGCAUUGCCUGCCAAAACAUUUUAUGAUUUUUAUUUCUUAUAAUUACAACUGUUUUGUUUUGGGCCAGCAUUGCCUGCCAAAACAUUUUAUGAUUUUUAUUUCUUAUAAUUACAACUGUCUUGUUUUGGGCCAGCAUUGCCUGCCAAAACAUUUUAUGAUUUUUAUUUCUUAUAAUUACAACUGUCUUGUUUUGGGUCAGCAUUGCCUGCCAAAAUAUUUUAUGAUUUUUAUUUCUUAUAAUUACAACUGUCUUGUUUUGGGCCAGCAUUGCCUGCCAAAACAUUUUAUGAUUUUUAUUUCUUAUAAUUACAACUGUCUUGUUUUGGGUCAGCAUUGCCUGCCAAAACAUUUUAUGAUUUUUAUUUCUUAUAAUUACAACUGUCUUGUUUUGGGUCAGCAUUGCCUGCAAAACGGUUAUUAUCUUUAUUUCACACAAUUUUGCCGUAUCUUGUUUUGGGUCAGUAUUGCCUGCUAAAACGUUUAGGAUCUUUAUUUCAUACGAUUGUGUCGUUAUUGCCGUCAUCCUGCCGGUGCUGUCUUUACACAUUGUUCAGACUGUCAAUGCGAUCAUUCGAUAGGCUACCUUUAAAUUGUGUUUUAAUUUUAUGGCCUGUUUGUAUACAUGCAUUUUUCGUAAAUCAUGAUAUGGUUUUUAAUGUUGCCUAUCUAAUUCAUAUUAAUUAUUCAAAUUAUAUAUAUAAAAAGACUUGAUGGUUUAUUCCAUUGUUGUACUAAAUGCUAUGGUCUUUAGAGGUAAAUCCAUCACAAACCAAAGUUUUAUAUUUAACUAAACUGGUUAUUAUUUACUAAAUUGUUUUUUUUUUUCUUUCUUUGCUUUUGGCAUGUUUGGUUUAAUGUUUAACGUAUGUGUCAAAAGCUAUAAAUAUUCUCUCGGUUAAACUUACAUCUUUUAACUUUCAUCGCAAUUAAGGUACAGUUUAAUUAUAUGAAACAAUAUUAUAUUUUUCAUUUUACAACUUUAUUUACUACCAUACAAUAUAAACCUUUUAAAUGCAUUACGAAAA